CCCUUAGAUGUUCUGGGCUGCACGCGCGCUACACUGAUGCGCUCAACGAGUUUAUGACCUUGCCCGGAAGGGUUGGGUAAUCUUUUCAAAACGCAUCGUGAUGGGGAUAGAUUAUUGCAAUUAUUAAUCUUCAACGAGGAAUUCCUAGUAAGCGCGAGUCAUCAGCUCGUGCUGAUUACGUCCCUGCCCUUUGUACACACCGCCCGUCGCUCCUACCGAUUGAAGAGUUAGGUGAAUUGUUUUGAUCGAUAAGAUUUGACUAUGGUCAACUCUCGUUGUGAAAUUCUGUGAAUCUGACUGUUUAGAGGAAGGAAAAGUCGUAACA
rnacentral:rRNA from 1 species